rnacentral:rRNA from 1 species
UACAGAGGCCUCGAGCGUUAGGCGGAAUCACUGGGCUUAAAGCGCGUGUAGGCGGAUCGUUAAGUACCUUGUGAAAUCCCACGGCUCAACCGUGGAACUGCUGGGUAUACUGGCGGUCUUGGGCCAUCUAGGGGGUCGCCGGAACAAGCGGUGGAGCGGUGAAAUGCGUAGAUAUCACUUGGAACGCCGACGGUGAAAACAGCUCGCUGGGUGUGUUCUGACGCUGGAGGCACGAAAGCCAGGGGAGCAAACGGG